AUUGAACGCUGGUGGCAGGCUUAACACAUGCAAGUCGAACGGUAACAGGAAUUAGCUUGCUAAUUUGCUGACGAGUGGCGGACGGGUGAGUAAUGCUUGGGAAUCUGGCUUAUGGAGGGGGAUAACUACGGGAAACUGUAGCUAAUACCGCGUAAAAUCUUCGGAUUAAAGGGUGGGACUUUCGAGCCACCUGCCAUAAGAUGAGCCCAAGUGGGAUUAGGUAGUUGGUUAGGUAAAGGCUGACCAAGCCGACGAUCUCUAGCUGGUCUGAGAGGAUGACCAGCCACACUGGAACUGAGACACGGUCCAGACUCCUACGGGAGGCAGCAGUGGGGAAUAUUGCACAAUGGGGGGAACCCUGAUGCAGCGAUGCCGCGUGAAUGAAGAAGGCCUUCGGGUUGUAAAGUUCUUUCGGUGACGGGGAAGGUUGAUAGGUUAAUAGCCUAACAAAUUGACGUUAAUCACAGAAGAAGCACCGGCUAACUCCGUG
rnacentral:rRNA from 1 species